rnacentral:rRNA from 1 species
AUACGGAGGAUGCGAGCGUUAUCCGGAUUCAUUGGGUUUAAAGGGUGCGCAGGCGGACGGUUAAGUCAGCGGUGAAAAGUAUGCGCUCAACGCAUAUCGUGCCGUUGAAACUGGCCGACUAGGAUGCGGAUGCUGGGGGAGGAAUGUGUAGUGUAGCGGUGAAAUGCAUAGAUAUUACACAGAACACCGAUUGCGAAGGCAUCUCACAAAACCGCGAUUGACGCUGAGGCACGAAAGUGCGGGGAUCAAACAGGAUUAGAUACCCUGGUAGUCCGCACAGUAAACGAUGAUAACUCGCUGUUGGCUCGCAAGGAGUCAGUGGCCAAGCGAAAGCGAUAAGUUAUCCACCUGGGGAGUACGACCGCAAGGUUGAAACUCAAAUGAAUUGGCGGGG